UUUGAAGAGGCCCCGGAGGUGCUCUUCCGCUUCAUGCUGAUUCCUGGGAGGAGAAGGCCUAUCCCAAAGAAGGAGCCAUGGCCAUCGAGGGGCAACAGGUGCAUAAUCCAAGUGUGACCAUGCUACGGCAGCUGUAAGAUCUUUGGAGGUGACCUGUAUCUUCCAGGACGCAGGAGAAUGAGGCUCAGUUCCAUAGGCUGACAUGUAUUGUCAGAAAUCCAACAGUCAACAGAACUUCUCAGUGUCUGGGCUCUAAUCAAACAGUGUAGCAAAGUCAAAUGCAGAGAUGGUGGACUCCUUCAGACCAAUUGGAAGCAGAGAAACUCAUGGUGUCAUCACAGCCUCGGUUAUUCCCCCACCCUGGACACCAGUAUUCAUUUUGAUGAAUGUCCAUCCUGUAAUGUGGGAGCUACUGGAGGAAGCUACUUGAGAAAGAAGAAAAAGGCGCAUGGUGGCACUGGGCUCUUCGAGUUCACGGGCUCUCUGCUAUUAACUGUGGUGAGCCAGGAGCACAAGCUGGAAUGUGAUAAUAACUCUCCCCAAGGAACUCUUCCUAUCCUCAGAGGGAUCAGGCACCUUUACCUACCAAUACCCAGGAACAGAAUUGUACCUUGUCAUGAGCUUCUUGCUUUUUUGAAGGAGUUUGUCUUUUGAAGGAGUUGGUGGCACGCACACCCUUGCAAGUAUCACUGUGCACUACAUUGUCCUGGGUACAAAACAGGUGUAGAAAAGCUAUGUGUUGGAGUGAAUGGUGGCCAGCCAGCCCCACUAUAUUCUAGCCAGCACCUGGUGGCCAGCAUUUUCCCCACCUUUUACAUAGUGGGUUUGGUGACUGGCGAUCUGUUAAUGGGGUGCCAGGCUGGGCUCUGGCUGAGGCAGGACAUGAAAGGCUCCAGCUCCCACACCUGCGUCGCACAAUAGAUGGAAAGCGAGAGCUGCAAGCAGGUUAACCCAAGAAU